AGAUGCGAUCAUACCAGUGUUAAUUAACCGUAUCUCAUCGGAACUCUGUAGUUAAGCACGCUUGGCCUAGAGUAGUAUUGGGAUGGGUGACCUCGUGGGAAGUCCUAGUGUUUCACUCU
rfam:Picea glauca, whole genome shotgun sequence.